rnacentral:rRNA from 1 species
GAGGAAUAUUGGUCAAUGGGCGCAAGCCUGAACCAGCCAAGUAGCGUGGAGGAUGACUGCCCUAUGGGUUGUAAACUCCUUUUAUGCGGGGAUAAAAUGUUUCACGUGUGAGAUAUUGCAGGUACCGCAUGAAUAAGGACCGGCUAAUUCCGUGCCAGCAGCCGCGGUAAUACGGAAGGUCCGGGCGUUAUCCGGAUUUAUUGGGUUUAAAGGGAGCGCAGACUGCUUGUCAAGCGUGCAGUGAAACGCCGUGGCCCAACCACGGUCCUGCUGCGCGAACUGGCUUGCUUGAGUGGGCCGUAGGUACGCGGAAUUCGUGGUGUAGCGGUGAAAUGCUUAGAUAUCACGAGGAACUCCGAUUGCGAAGGCAGCGUACCAUAUCCCAACUGACGUUUAGGCUCGAAGGUGCGGCUAUCGAACAGGAUUAGAUACCCUGGUAGUCCGCACAGUAAACGAUGGAUGCCCGCUGUUGGUACCUGGUAUCAGCGGCUAAGCGAAAGCAUUAAGCAUCCCACCUGGGGAGUACGCCGGCAACGGUG